rnacentral:lncRNA from 1 species
GGAAUUCCUCCCAAAAUCCCAAUAAUUCCUCCCAAAUCCUGGGAAUUCCCUUCAAAUCCUGGGAAUUCCUCCCAAAAUCCCAGGAAUUCCUCCCAAAUCCCAAUAAUUCCUCCCAAAAUCCCAAUAAUUCCUCCCAAAAUCCCAGGAAUUCCCCUCAAAUCCUGAGAAUUCUCCCCCAAAUCCCGGGAAUUCCUCCCAAAAUCCCAGGAAUUCCUCCAAAAUCCUGGGAAUUCUCCUCCAAAUCCCGGGAAUUCCCUUCAAAUCCUGAGAAUUCCGUCCCAAACCCCGGGAAUUUCCCCUAAAAUCCCAAUAAUUCCUCCCAAAAUCCCGGGAAUUCCAUCUUAAAAUCCCAGGAAUCCCCCCAAAUCCUGGAAAUUCCCCUCAAAUCCUUGGAAUUCCCCCCAAAAUCCCUGGAAUUCCUCCCAAAUCCUGGGAAUUCCCCCCAAAUCCCGGGAAUUUCCACCAAAAUCCCAGGAAUUCCCCUCAAAUCCCGGGAAUUCCCCUCAAAAUCCCAGGAAUUCCCCCCAAAAUCCCGAGAAUUCCCCCCAAAAUCCCGGGAAUUCCGAUUUUUUCCCGGUUUUUUUUCCCACAUCCCAUUUUUAUUUAUUCUCCUCCAUCCCAUUUUUCCAGGAAUUCCGGUUUUUUUCCCUUUAAUCCCGAUUUUUUUAUCCCAUUUUUUAUUUAUUCCCAUUUUUUUAAUUCAUUUUUUUAAAUCCCAUUCUUUUUUCCUUAUCCCAUUUUUUAUUAUUUAUCCCAAUUUUUUCCCUUUUCUCACUUCUUUUCCCCCAAAAUCCCAUUUUUUAAACCUUUUAUCCCAAUUCCCUCCCGAUUUUCCCAUUUUUUGCCGGGUAAAUCCCUUGGAAAAACCCCAAAAUUCCCAUUUUUUUGGCCCCAAAAUCUUUUUUUUUUAACCACAGAAUUCCCCUUUUCCCAAAAAUCCCGGAAUUCCCUCCAAAAAUCUCCACCCCAAAUUCUCCUUUUCCUCCUCAAAUUCCCAUUUUUCCCCCA